rnacentral:rRNA from 1 species
CCUACGGGAGGCAGCAGUGAGGAAUAUUGGUCAAUGGGCGCAAGCCUGAACCAGCCAAGUCGCGUGAGGGAUGACGGUCCUAUGGAUUGUAAACCUCUUUUGUCGGGGAGCAAGGCCCGCCACGUGUGGCGGGAAGGAGAGUACCCGAAGAAAAAGCAUCGGCAAACUCCGUGCCAGCAGCCGCGGUAAUACGGAGGAUGCGAGCGUUAUCCGGAUUUAUUGGGUUUAAAGGGUGCGUAGGCGGAUGGGUAAGUCAGCGGUCAAAUGUCGGUGCUCAACACCGGCCUGCCGUUGAAACUGGUCGUCUUGAGUGAGCGAGAAGUAUGCGGAAUGCGUGGUGUAGCGGUGAAAUGCAUAGAUAUCACGCAGAACUCCGAUUGCGAAGGCAGCAUACCGGCGCUCAACUGACGCUGAGGCACGAAAGCGUGGGGAUCGAACAGGAUUAGAUACCCGAGUAGUC